GCCCGAGUGGUGGAAUCUGGUAGACACAGUCGGCUUAAAACCGGCCGUCGUGAGACUUGCGGGUUCAAAUCCCGUCUCGGGCAC
rnacentral:tRNA from 1 species